UGGCAGACGGGUGAGUAACGCGUGGGAAGCUACCUUGUGGUAGGGGACAACAGUUGGAAACGACUGCUAAUACCCUAUGAGCCCUAUGGGGGAAAGAUUUAUCGCCAUGAGAUGUGCCCGCGUUAGAUUAGCUAGUUGGUAAGGUAAUGGCUUACCAAGGCGACGAUCUAUAGCUGGUCUGAGAGGAUGAUCAGCCACACUGGGACUGAGACACGGCCCAGACUCCUACGGGAGGCAGCAGUGGGGAAUAUUGGACAAUGGGGGCAACCCUGAUCCAGCCAUGCCGCGUGUGUGAUGACGGCCUUAGGGUUGUAAAGCACUUUCAGCAGUGAAGAUAAUGACAUUAACUGCAGAAGAAGCCCCGGCUAACUUCGUGCCAGCAGCCGCGGUAAUACGAAGGGGGCUAGCGUUGUUCGGAAUCACUGGGCGUAAAGAGUACGUAGGCGGACUGAUAAGUUAGGGGUGAAAUCCCAAGGCUCAACCUUGGAACUGCCUUUGAUACUGUCAGUCUUGAGAUCGA
rnacentral:rRNA from 1 species